GAAGGUAAAAAUAUUAGGAGUUGAAUUUAAAUACAACACAAAUAUGAUAAAAAGUUCUAAUUAAAAACUAGAUUUUGCAAGGAGAGAAGUAAUGAAAAUCCACUGAACACGCUCGAUUUUGGGCCUUUAACAGAUACAUACUUUGGGAUACUCCGAGCUGUAGUACUUCAUUGCGGUAGCAACAAUCAAUAAAGUAGGCCACCGUGAUCCAUUACGAAAAUCCACAAAGUUGACCAGGGGC
rnacentral:lncRNA from 1 species